AUCAACCAUCACAGUGGCAACCACCACGUAACAGGGCUUACCUGGGCACCUAACCACAAGAGUAAAUCCCUAGCUCGAAGAUAUUGACAUCAAGCAUUGUUUGGAAUAAGGAAGGGUUGAGAAGGAUUGGAGUAAGCAGGUUGAGGUGAAGGUUUAAGUGGUAGGUAAAAAUAGAGAGCUUGAGGAACUACAAACUGAUAAGAAUAUAACAGAAUUUCAGGUUAAUGCCGCGGCACCCUAAAGUAGGAUUUGGAGGGUAAAAAUGUUGCAGCCAUGAAUCUAUGAUUGGGGGAGACAGAGUCACUAGUUUGUUCCAUUUUAGACUAAUGAGAAUGCAUUUGCUGAAAAUAAAGCUCAACAAAGAGGAAACGUGAAAGGCAAAGUGGACUCAUGAAGAGAUAAAGCGAUAAACUACAAUGUAAAGAAAGAAAUUACCCACCUUCUGACUGGUAAAGUUAUUGAUUAAUUGGCC